rnacentral:lncRNA from 1 species
CCUGAAAACACUACAAAAGUUUUAUUGCUUAAAAAGUACAGCUUUUCACUAACUCGCUCUCUUUAAAGGGAGGAGGGCUUGUGUACACUAUGAUGAAAGGUGCCAGCCACUGUGAACUUGUGGAGGCUACUGAGACUGUACUUCAGAGGCUCAUUGCUGUUUCCUAAGGAACGAGAGAAGAUGGAGAUGCAGAAUGGCUCCAGGUGAAAAUUAAAUUGCAGGACUGGCCACUGACAAUGCUGAAGAAGAUAGCAUAGGUCCUAUAUUAUUUUUCCACGGGGAUGGCCAAAAAUGUGUAAGAAGUGAUCGCAUAUCAGGGAGAGGGAUUGUUGUUUGUCUGUUCUCAGAUUCCAGAGAGAUCAUCCCAAUGGCUGUUGAAUCCAACUGUGGAGAGCCAGGUGGACCCCAGCAGCACCCACAAAUGGACAGGGAGCUCAACAGCUCUGUUCAUGAUUCUGAACACUGA